AAUGUACACUGUUAAAGCUCAGGAUGGAGGCCAGUGAGCUUCUGAGUGUCAGAAGUGUGCUACAUCAAAGGCAGGGAUUUCGUUCACACCAGUAGAGCUUGCCUAUUUGACUGGAGUUUGAUAGUAGUCACUGCCACACAC
ensembl:snoRNA SNORA62 Small nucleolar RNA SNORA62/SNORA6 family